rnacentral:antisense_RNA from 1 species
CUUCAACGAGCCGAGCCACAGCGGCCGUUCCUCGUCGCGGUCCUGUCCAUAGGCGGCGAUGAGCGCCUGGGCCUC